GUUUGCCCCCUGGGUGAUGCUCCUGAGCUCUACAGCUUCUGAAUAAUUAACCUUUCCAGUGAGGAUUUGAGGUGAAGAUUGAGCUGGGGCCUGGAGUGAACACCCUGCCCUGCCUCAGCUCCUGCCUGAGUGAGGAAAAAAAGAAAUAAAAAGGAGGCCAUGACAGCCCCUAGGUAUGGUGGAGGAGAAAGUUUAUUGUAGAUAUGGAGAAGAGCCUAGCCAGAAAAGCAUUUGGAAGGGCCCAGAGUGAACAAGACCCUGAGCUGGGUCAUGGGAGGGGAGAGGGGAAAGCCAUGAGACCAAAAGUGCAAAAGGGUAAAAAGACCAGCUUAGCCAAAAUGACUGCAUUCUAUAGAGAAGAACCACUAGAAGAAGGGUGGCCCAGGCCCUGGGCUGGAGAAGGUUUAGGUCAGGGAACCAGGCACGCCAACCAGGAGGAUCCUGAAAACAAGCAGAGACUGGGGGAUGCUAGGAGAGCUAGGCAGCUUGUGUAGGACCUCCAUCAGCUAUUUGACUGCAUUUGAGCCCUAAUGCCCUGAAUGUUGAAGUGUUGUACCCAUCCGGAGCCUAAGUGUUGAGAUCAUUUGACCACUAGGGAGGGACAGAAUUUCACAGUCACCUUGGAGCCAGUCCAAGAAGUAUCUCCCUGAGAUAGCAGCUUAUUAUCAGCAAAACUGACUGUCAGUGUCUAGUCUGGCCCAGCCUGCUAGUGUCUUGUGACCAGGCUGAAAAAACAGGAAGGUGUUUGACAACCCCCCACAUCCAACAGUGGGAUUAAAGGCCAGGAAGCAAGAGAAGGCCUCCAGAUUGCAGGGGAGAGAAUCCUGAGCUUUGGAUGAACACCUGGAUUCUUUAACUCCCCAGCACCUCUUAUCUGCGAUAAAAUGGCAUUGUCUCUCUCCUGCUUCAGAUGUGCACAUUUUGAGAAGUGGAGAGCAAGAAUACAGUAUGACAUCUCUUCUCAGAGACUACAGGUUUUUUUUGAGACUUGGUUUCUCUGACUGUUCUGGAAUUCACAGAGGUCUACCUGCUUCUGCAUUAUGAUUGCUGGGAUCAAAGGUAUGUGACACCACCUCCCCUAAGAUGCUACAUUCUUUUAAUUGCAGUAUAUAUGUAUAUAUAUACAUACAGAGAGGAACAGAGAGAGAGAGCAAGACCAUAUCUUCAUGGUUGGUUAGGUUUUAUUACUAUUUUGUUGUUGUUUGCUUGUAUGUGUGUGUAUGUUGAGACCUAAGUUUGAUGUCAGAAAUAAUCUUCCAUUUUAUUAAAUUCUUUUGUUUGUUUUUGAUUUUGGAGACAAUGUUUCUCCAUGUAGCUCUGGCUGUCCUGGAACUC